rnacentral:tRNA from 1 species
ACUUAAUUAGUUUAUUUAAAAAUUAUAAAUUGUGGAUUUAUAGAAGAUAGAAAUUCAUUAAGUA